CUUCCACUCCCUCCUUCCCAGCCCUUUUUCUUCCUACCAGUGUUUAGGGGUUAUAUGUGUAAUGGCCCGAAAUGUACUACAAUUGUAAUGGUAUUUUUCCCCAUGUAAAUAGAGUUAACCUGGGGUGUUUGCGCAACCAGUUAUAUAUGUAUGUGGGUUUCUCAUGAGAGAGAGAGAGAGAGAGAGAAAGGAAAGAAGGAAGUACACAAGAGAAGGAGAAAAAAAUGAAAAGUACGAGAGGAGAGAGAGAGAAAGAAGUUUGAGAGAGAGAGCGAGAGGGAAGAGAUGGGGGUUGAAACAAAGAGGCCUGGUGCUCCCAAAUCUCCCCUACAAUCUGUAGUGUCAACAAAAUUCAGAGGUGUCAGGGGUCAAAACAGGGUAUCGUUGCCAAAAGCGGUCAAUCUGCCUUCUUUUAAUUAUUGCGGGAGAACGGUAAAUAUGUAUAAUGGAAAUAAAAUACCAGUGACCUUAUAUUGAUAUUGGAGGCCUACCAAGGAAAUCUCAGGUCUCAAGCAGGCCUAACCUGCGGUCAGUUUGUCACUCCGAGACGUCACACCAAGACAUUUUGGGGCCGAGACUAACGCCCCUUCCUCGCACUAGGUUGUGGGAGCGAGCUCAUUCUCACGAGCGACAUCGCCCCUUUCAGGUGCGCCAAAGGCAAGCCUGACAGAUGGGAAGCUGAGCGUCGCCCAGACCAAGGCCAACAUGCAGCAGUAAACACUUUUGAAGCUGGGUUGUGGGGGAUUGCCGGUGGCAGGGUGUGUGAAGAGAGGAAGGAAAGGAGAAGGCCAAAAGGGUGUUUCAGUGAUGGAAUCUUUGGGCCGCACCUCGGAUUCCUUGACAGCCGGGACCUGCAGCGUUGACAUAGAGGGCUGGCUAUCAGACUGACACGAGGGUUCCGGUGAACUCUGACUUGUUACGACCUGAGGCAUCAUGCAUGGGGCCGUCCAUGCACUCCUCUUCAAAGUCAUGCAGCCGCUCUAGAGACUCCCCAUCGAGGAACAACUUAAGGCCAUUGUCAUAGAGAAGCGGCUUGCCCUUCCACCUCCUGAAGAUGUACUUGAUGACUCGGUGGACGUGUGACAAGAUGAUGAGGGGCGGGGGGAAGACGGGCUUGCCUUCAAACUCCAUCACAACCUUUACGGACAAGGAAAUGAAGUUGAGUACUGUUUGGAAUGGCAUGAACAAACUGCCAAACACAUCCUGUGCCCAGACAGAGCUGCCCAGGGAAGCCACUCAGGGCGCUGCCACGAGGGGCCCACCUGGUAGAAGAUGUGACGUGCGAGGCGCCAGUGAGGCUCCUCGUUGGGGUACAGGAUGCUCUGCCGACACACCCCGAAGGCCAUCAGCACCACCAGCAGCAGCACCACAAACCCCCCCAGCCAGAGGUCAGCCAGGAGGAUCUGGCAGCAGGUGUGUGACAGCAGAGCGCGGUGGUUGUCAGCAACGGCCAGAGACAGACACGUUUGCUUAGACCAAUUCCUUAAUUCGUAAGUCAAGAGCUGCUGCGCCCGGUCAUCA